rnacentral:rRNA from 1 species
UUGAACGCUGGCGGCAGGCCUAACACAUGCAAGUCGAGCGGCAGCGGACCUUCGGGUGCCGGCGAGCGGCGGACGGGUGAGUAAUACGUGGGAAUCUGCCUAUAGGUGGGGGAUAGCCCGGAGAAAUCCGGAUUAAUACCGCAUAAUACCUGAGGGUUAAAACGGAGGAUCGCAAGACUUCGUGCCUAUAGAUGAGCCCACGUCAGAUUAGCUAGUUGGUAGGGUAAAGGCCUACCAAGGCGACGAUCUGUAGCUGGCCUGAGAGGGUGGCCAGCCACACUGGAACUGAGACACGGUCCAGACUCCUACGGGAGGCAGCAGUGGGGAAUAUUGGACAAUGGGCGCAAGCCUGAUCCAGCCAUGCCGCGUGUGUGAAGAAGGCCUUCGGGUUGUAAAGCACUUUAAGUUGGGAGGAAGGUUGCUUGGCUAAUAUCCAAGCGAAUUGACGUUACCAACAGAAUAAGCACCGGCUAAUUCCGU